GGCUGGUCUGAGUGCAGUUAAUUAAUUAUUAACUUAAUUAUUAAGUUAAUUAAUUAUAUUAAUUAAUUAUAGCCAGUUACAGAUUUCUUUGUUUCUUCUCCACUCCCACUACUUCACUUGACUCGCCUUAC
rnacentral:Y_RNA from 1 species